AGGGGCAUCGGGGCGAGGAGCAAUCCUUGCCGCCGGCGACCGGCGCACUGGUGAGUAACGCGUAUGCGACCUGCCCGUUGCAGGGGGAUAAUCGGGAGAAAUCCCGUCUAAUACCGCGUAACGCCGCGGGGCUGCAUGGCCCUGCGGCCAAAGGGAGCGAUUCCGGCAACGGAUGGGCAUGCGUGACAUUAGCUAGUUGGCGGGGCAACGGCCCACCAAGGCGACGAUGUCUAGGGGUUCUGAGAGGAAGGUCCCCCACACUGGUACUGAGACACGGACCAGACUCCUACGGGAGGCAGCAGUGAGGAAUAUUGGUCAAUGGGCGCGAGCCUGAACCAGCCAAGUCGCGUGAGGGAUGACGGCCCUACGGGUUGUAAACCUCUUUUGUCGGGGAGCAAAUUCCGCCACGUGUGGCGGAGUCGAGAGUACCCGAAGAAAAAGCAUCGGCUAACUCCGUGCCAGCAGCCGCGGUAAUACGGAGGAUGCGAGCGUUAUCCGGAUUUAUUGGGUUUAAAGGGUGCGUAGGCGGGCUGUCAAGUCAGCGGUAAAAUACGGGGGCUCAACCUCCGCCCGCCGUUGAAACUGACGGUCUUGAGUGGGCGAGAAGUAUGCGGAAUGCGUGGUGUAGCGGUGAAAUGCAUAGAUAUCACGCAGAACUCCGAUUGCGAAGGCAGCAUACCGGCGCCCAACUGACGCUGAAGCACGAAAGCGUGGGUAUCGAACAGGAUUAGAUACCCUGGUAGUCCACGCAGUAAACGAUGAAUACUAGC
rnacentral:rRNA from 1 species